rnacentral:rRNA from 1 species
AGAGUUUGAUCCUGGCUCAGAAUGAACGCUGGCGGCGUGCCUAACACAUGCAAGUCGUACGAGAAAUCUCGGGCUUGCUCGAGAGAGUAAAGUGGCGCACGGGUGAGUAACACGUAGGUAAUCUACCUCCGGGUCAGGGAUAACCCGCCGAAAGGCGGGCUAAUACCUGGUAAUACCCUGUCUGCGGGAGCAGGCGGGAUCAAAGGUGGCCUCUGCAUGCAAGCUACUGCUUGGAGAUGAGCCCGCGGACCAUUAGCUAGUUGGUAGGGUAAUGGCCUACCAAGGCGACGAUGGUUAGCUGGUCUGAGAGGACGGCCAGCCACACUGGAACUGGAACACGGUCCAGACUCCUACGGGAGGCAGCAGUGAGGAAUAUUGCGCAAUGGGGGAAACCCUGACGCAGCGACGCCGCGUGGGUGAAGAAGGCCUUCGGGUCGUAAAGCCCUGUCAAGCGGGAAGAAAUCCCUGCUAACUAAUAAGUAGUAGGAUUGACGGUACCGCUGAAGGAAGCACCGGCUAACUCCGUGCCAGCAGCCGCGGUAAUACGUAGGGUGCAAGCGUUGUCCGGAAUUAUUGGGCGUAAAGAGCUCGUAGGCGGUUUGUCGCGUCUGCUGUGAAAACGCGAGGCUCAACCUCGCGCCUGCUGUGGGUACGGGCAGACUAGAGUGCGGUAGGGGAGAUUGGAAUUCCUGGUGUAGCGGUGGAAUGCGCAGAUAUCAGGAGGAACACCGAUGGCGAAGGCAGAUCUCUGGGCCGUAACUGACGCUGAGGAGCGAAAGCGUGGGGAGCGAACAGGAUUAGAUACCCUGGUAGUCC